AAGGAAUAUCAGAGGCCUGAUGCCCUUAUUUUAUGGGGAGAAAACUGAAGCCUUUUGAGGGAUUUUAUUUUCCUGUUUUUCCUGGGCUGUGCUACUCUGUUGAAAUGCUGCUCCUUGGCUUUGUUCCAACGACAUGGAUUGUCUCAAGUCUGAAUACUUUCGGUAUUUCCAGGGUCCAAGAAUUCCUUUGGUUUGAAGAAAAAAUCCACUUCUUGAUUCUAGAGAGACUGAUUUAUAGAUGUGCUGACAAGCAGGCUGAGGUCUGGUAUCGUAACCUGUGUUCCUUUGGCUAUGGGACAUGGCAUCUCUGUUGAAAAUAGCAAAUUCUA